AUACGGAGGGUGCAAGCGUUGUUCGGAAUCACUGGGCGUAAAGGGCGCGCAGGCGGUUUGGUAAGUCAGAUGUGAAAGCCCACGGCUCAACCGUGGAAGUGCAUUUGAAACUGCCAGACUUGAGUACCAGAGGGGAAAGUGGAAUUCCCGGCGUAGAGGUGAAAUUCGUAGAUAUCGGGAGGAAUACCGGUGGCGAAGGCGACUUUCUGGCUGGAUACUGACGCUGAGGCGCGAAAGCGUGGGGAGCAAACAGGAUUAGAAACCCCGGUAGUCC
rnacentral:rRNA from 1 species